rnacentral:rRNA from 1 species
AAUGAACGCUGGCGGCAUGCUUUACACAUGCAAGUCGAACGGUAACAGGCCGCAACCUGGCGACGAGUGGCGAACGGGUGAGUAAUGCAUCGGAACGUGCCCAGUAGUGGGGGAUAGCCCGGCGAAAGCCGGAUUAAUACCGCAUACGACCUACGGGUGAAAGGGGGGGAUCGCAAGACCUCUCGCUAUUGGAGCGGCCGAUGUCAGAUUAGGUAGUUGGUGGGGUAAAGGCCUACCAAGCCGACGAUCUGUAGCUGGUCUGAGAGGACGACCAGCCACGCUGGGACUGAGACACGGCCCAGACUCCUACGGGAGGCAGCAGGGGGGAAUUUUGGACAAUGGGCGCAAGCCUGAUCCAGCCAUGCCGCGUGCGGGAAGAAGGCCUUCGGGUUGUAAACCGCUUUUGUCAGGGAAGAAAUCUUCUGGGUUAAUACCUCGGGAGGAUGACGGUACCUGAAGAAUAAGCACCGGCUAACUACGUGCCAGCCGCCGCAGUAAAAC